rnacentral:ncRNA from 1 species
AUGAUUGCCUGUCCACCCUAUAUUUUGCGCUGUUGCGCGCGCCGUCAUCACGUUCGUCACACGCUUGACAACAACGCAAGCAGAAGCGACGUGAGAGCCGCGAGGCUUAUGAGGCGCAACGCAACGCCCCAAGUCGAGCCGCUUGCCCCGUUCACCGGGGCGGCGGCUUUUUUA